UGUUAAAAAUUUCAUCUAUUUCUAGUGCUAAAAAAUGUUGUAGCUGAUAGAAUAACUAGACAGUUACAUGUGAUGUGUCACUUGUACCUCAUGAUAAUAUAUAAUUACCAAUUUUUAACAAGUAGAAACAGAUGGAAUAUUUAACU
rnacentral:pre_miRNA from 1 species